rnacentral:tRNA from 1 species
GAAGUGGCUCAGGGGUAGACUGCUUGCCUGGCAUGCACGAGGCCCUGGGUUGGAUUCCCAGCACA